UACGUAGGGGGCAAGCGUUGUCCGGAAUCAUUGGGCGUAAAGAGCGUGUAGGCGGCCCGGUAAGUCCGCUGUGAAAGUCCAGGGCUCAACCCUGGGAUGCCGGUGGAUACUGUCGGGCUCGAGUCCGGAAGAGGAGUGUGGAAUUCCGUGGUGUAGCGGUGAAAUGCGCAGAUAUCAGGAGGAACACCAAUGGCGAAGGCAGCACUCUGGGACGUGACUGACGCUGAGACGCGAAAGCGUGGGGAGCAAACAGGAUUAGAUACCCCG
rnacentral:rRNA from 1 species